UACAUAUUCCCUCCUUCUGGAAUUACUCGUCGUAUAAAUGUAUGAAAGUAAAUGUAUCUAGAAUUAAAGUAUUGUUAGAUGCAUUCAUUUUUAUGACAAGUAUUUUUAGACGGAGGAAGUAUCAA
rnacentral:pre_miRNA from 1 species